CGAUUUUGGCCACGAUAUGUGCUUUUCCAUUUGGUAGAUUUCAUUCAUUAGUAAGUUUUCAUGGGUUUCGAGUUUUUCCACGAAUUUCUUCUGGUGGCUUUGGAUAUACUUACAAAAAGGCACAACCCUGGACGUGUUGUAUAUAAUUUCUAACUCCUUGGCCACUAUUGGGGAAAUAGAGAACCAGAUCGGAAACCCGUACGCUAAGAUAGAUCUAAUUGUAACUUUGUAGAGAAGUAACUUCGUGUGUUGUGGUAGGUAUUUGCUAUUUAAUAGAUACGAAAACUUUACUAAUAUACCUUUUGUCUUCUGCAUGACGGACCGUGCGUGUUUAUUGAACUUCAUCAAAUUGGUGAGAGUAAUGCCCAAGUAUUUUAGAGAUGUUUUAAAGGGAAUCUCAACUCCUUCAAGAGACAGCUGAAGCGCUUUACUCUCUGGAACAACGUUUCUAGGGCAUUUUCCCGAAGCGUUCCGGAAACAUAUUGCUACGGAUUUAUCGGCAUUGAUUUUGAUUCCCCAUACUUCCUUGCGGCACCCCACUGUUUACUAAACCCGUGGUUGACGACGGGUUUUUGAUAUUAAUUAAAAACUUUCGUGCAGUGAAAAAACGUGCCAUCAACUUGACCAGGAAUAAAAAAAUAUGAGAUCAAUGAUUUGAAGAAAUUGCCAUGGAAUGGGACAGUUUGGAUCGUAUUUUUGAACGUAAAUCCAUUUUAAAUUUGAAAAAUUUAACCGCAAUUACUUCUGUUAAGGUGUGAGUACAUAAAAGGCUUUUUUGACUGGCUUAAGUCAUCGGCGGGCUUCUUCGGAAAAGAACAAAGGACCGUAGGGCCAAAUUCGUACGAAGUCAAGCCAAAUUCCUUUAUUUCCUUGGCAUCAUGGCUAGGCAUAUCAAUGUCAAAUUAUAAAGGGGAACUACGGCACAAUUCGAAAGCGGCUCUGUCAUCCCUUUAUGAUAUGUCACGAACUAUGCCAUGCGAAGACUUCAAGCUCUUUAUGUACUUACACAUUUAGUAUUCUUGACAAUAUUUUUUUUAGGUCUAUCUUGUUGGAAAAAUGCAUCACCAUUAAAUUAGGACUUUUCCUAGACUUUAAGGGCAUGAUGUGCCCUCACUACUAUUUUUAGUACUGGUCUUUCACUUAAAUCUUCUUUUCAUAUAGGUGGUGGUCUAAGAAUGUACUGAGUUCUCCAUUUCUAUUCAUUUCUAACUUGAGCACCAGCUGUUGGUAUUUCUAUCCCAAUUCAUCAUGGCUGAAAUUUUCAUGGGACUCACUAGCAAUACUCAGAGAUGCUUGACCAUCUAUUCUCUUUAGAUUGCAACAUAAUAUACUUUUUCAAUAAAUACUUUAAUUUAAUUAAUUUAA